UUCUGUUCUGUCUAACCGAGUUUCUUUUUUCUUCUCUUCGGCGGGAGAAAUUGAGUCGAUACACGACCAUGGAAGAGUCACAUAAAACGACAGCCUUGAAGAAAGCUUACGCGGAGAUUAUCCUAAACACGGCCAAGGAAUCCGCCGCUAGGGUUAUGCUUUCCGACAGAAAAUCAGCUCGCUUUCACCACGAUCUCUCCGAAACCAAGGAGGAAGCUCUUCGUUUGCUCGUCCGAUUGAAACAUAUGAUCGACGCUAAGACGAUUGAAGGAGAUGUUAUAUCAUCAAACCAGCAACGACAGAUUGAUGUGCUUGAAGCUCAGCUUCACGAGGCUGAAGAUAUUAUUACUGACCUUAGGUCUGAGGUUAGAUGGGUGAGAGAUAGAUUGGAGAAAUCUAAGGCUUUUGAGUCUCAGGAACGUAACAUUGUGAACAUGGAAGAAGAAGAAGAAACGGUUUCUGUUCAUCCAGAUUUUGUUGCUGAAAAUGAGGAAAAGCAGUUUGACGGGUUAAGUGUGGCUGAUACUUUAAAGGCUUAUGAGUCGCAGGAACGAAAUGUUGUGAGGGAGGAAGAAGAAGAAAUGGUUUCUGUUCACAAAGUUGACCCAGAGGUUAUUGUUGAAAGUUCGAAUCCGAAUCAAGAGGAUUGUAGCUCAUUGGAUGAUGUUGAAUGUGAAGAUGGUGAAAGUUUGGAGAAAGCAAAAGCUUCUGAGUUGCAGCAGGAAAGGAACCUUGUGGACAUGGAAGAAGAAAUGGUUUCUGCUCACAAGGUUGAUCCAGAGGUUGUUCUUGAAAGUGUGAAUCCUAAUCUAGAGGAUCAUAGCUCAUUACAUGAUGCUGAAUGUGAAAAUUUGGAGAAAGCUAAGGCUUAUGAGUCUCAGGAACGGAACCUAGUUGUGAACAAGGAAGAAGAAACGGUUUCUGGUCACAAGGUUGAUCAAGAGUUUGUUGUUGAAAGUUUGAAACCUGAUCAAGAGGUUGCAGAUACGUGCUUCUCUCAUGAAAAACAUUUUGACGGGUUAAGUGUUGUUGAUACUGUGAUGGGAAACGCUGUUAGUGAGUCGGAAUCUGAUGGUGAUAUCAGAAUCAAAAAGCUUGAGCUGUCUAGAAAUGGUUGUACACAGAGGAUCCAUGCUCUGGAAAGGAUAGUUCUGGAUGGGAAGUCAUCUUCUUCUGCAGAUGAAGAGGAGCAACAACGCACAACAGAAAAGGACAGUGAAGAAAGCUUGAGCUCAGGAAAAGCUGGCACUUUGGGAAACACAAGAUGUCUUGUUCUUGCACUUAGAGCUAGUAGUGCAGAGGUGGUAACACUGCCGUCAAACGCAUUAGGAAUCAAGAAAGCCAGGAAAUUAAGAGGAAGGAGAAAGAAAAGGUUUGGCAAACCAAAAGCUAAAUCGGUUAGGUCUCAGAGUCAGCUUAUAAAGCCUUGUCAAUCUCAGUCUAAUGCUACCUGUUCCAAGACAUCAACUUCAGAUGGAGAAGAUUCUAUGGAGACGCAUCUUACCGUAGAGAGUGAGGAGGUGGAUGACCUUCAAACCUGUAUAGAGUUGAAAGAACAUUUGCAGCUUAAACGUACUCUAGACAGUGAUGUGUUGGUUAGUUGUGAAGGUGAAGAAGAAAGUGUGGUGGUUCCUUCUACCAAAAUGGCUUCUGAAUCGAAAGUUGCUGCAUUAGUAUCAGAUCAAAUCAGUGAGUCUCCUCCAAGAGCCAAUGUAAAUCGACUCUUGAAGUACACAUUCCAAAGGAAACGAAAGAGAGGAUCUGCAGAUGAUACUAAUAACCUUCCAAGGAAACAUCAAGAAAACGAAGCGCAAGACCAAACUGAAACCACUUUGAGUAAAUGAACCAUCAAGAGGAAACCCACAACUAGCAGAGGUUGCCACACAUCUUAAAAUCUUUGUCUGAGAGGUGAUGGUAAUCUUUGUGCAAGGGAAACACUUAGGAACAUAUAUAAAUAUCAACUAAAACGCUUUAAGCUGAGAAUAACUCGAGCUUUGAGAUCUAGUGAGACGAGGGAGAAGGAAGAACCACACAACCAACAUGUGAAUUUUGAAAGUAGAUCAAACUUUAAAAUAUUUAAAAUGUCAAUAUGGCAAAGGAUGGAAGUUGACUGAAACUACAAAAGCGUGGUCCUCUCCAUGAUCUCAUUCAUCUUGGCCUUCUU